AUACGUAGGGGGCGAGCGUUGUCCGGAAUGAUUGGGCGUAAAGGGCGCGUAGGCGGCCCGGUAAGUCUGGAGUGAAAGUCCUGUUUUUAAGAUGGGAAUUGCUUUGGAUACUGUCGGGCUUGAGUGCAGGAGAGGUAAGUGGAAUUCCCAGUGUAGCGGUGAAAUGCGUAGAGAUUGGGAGGAACACCAGUGGCGAAGGCGACUUACUGGACUGUAACUGACGCUGAGGCGCGAAAGUGUGGGGAGCAAACAGGAGUAGAUACCCUGGUAGUCCACACUGUAAACGAUGAAUGCUAGGUGUAGGGGGUAUCGACCCCUUCUGUGCCGCAGUCAACACAAUAAGCAUUCCGCCUGGGGAGUACGGCCGCAAGGUGGAAACUCAAAUGAAUUGACGGGG
rnacentral:rRNA from 1 species